GCAUAUCAAUAAGCGAAGGAAAAGAAACCAACAGGGAUUGCCUCAGUAGCGGCGAGUGAAGCGGCAAGAGCUCAGAUUUGAAAUCGUGUUUCGGCACGAGUUGUAAAUUGCAGGUUGGAGUCUUUGUGGAGGCGUGUGUCUAAGUCCCUUGGAACAGGGCGCCAUUGAGGGUGAGAGCCCCGUGAGACGCGCGCGGAAGCUUUAAGGCCCUUCUGACGAGUCGAGUUGUUUGGGAAUGCAGCUCUAAGUGGGUGGUAAAUUCCAUCUAAGGCUAAAUAUUGGCGAGAGACCGAUAGCGAACAAGUACUGUGAAGGAAAGAUGAAAAGCACUUUGAAAAGAGAGUGAAACAGCACGUGAAAUUGUUGAAAGGGAAGGGUAUUGGGCUCGACAUGGGAUUUGCGCACCGCUGCUCCCUUGUGGGCGGCGCUCUGGGCUUUUCCUGGGCCAGCAUCGGUUUCCGCUGCAGGAGAAGGGGUGCCGGAAUGUGGCUCUUCGGAGUGUUAUAGCCGGCGCCAGAUGCUGCGUGUGGGGACCGAGGACUGCGGCUUCUGUCUCGGAUGCUGGCACAACGGCGCAAUACCGCCCGUCUUGAAACAUGGACCAAGGAGUCUAACGUCUAUGCGAGUGUUUGGGUGUGAAACCCGUACGCGUAAUGAAAGUGAACGUAGGUCGGACCCUUCGGGGGCACGAUCGACCGAUCCUGAUGUUUAUCGGAUGGAUUUGAGUAAGAGCAUAGCUGUUGGGACCCGAAAGAUGGUGAACUAUGCCUGAAUAGGGUGAAGCCAGAGGAAACUCUGGUGGAGGCUCGUAGCGGUUCUGACGUGCAAAUCGAUCGUCGAAUUUGGGUAUAGGGGCGAAAGACUAAUCGAACAUCUAGUAGCUGGUUCCUGCCGAA
rnacentral:rRNA from 1 species